UUAACUCAAAUUUGUAUGGAAUUGGAACGUUUGCCUACGUUUGCCGCUAGGGGCGCUGUUCCAACUCCAUACAAAUUCGAGUUA
rnacentral:pre_miRNA from 1 species